GUAUUAUAUUGCGUUAAACGCGGUAUGCAUUCCAUGAGACUUUACUACAGUGUGUAUGUAAAUACAUAGAACCACAGCAGGGAGACGGAGCCCCCAGGCUGCAGAACCAUGGAGGGUGCACAGGUGUGAGUGGAUGUGUAAACAGAGCGUGCACAUGCCCCCGUUUGAGGACCAGCAACAACUCGUGUUGACAAUUCGGUAAUGAUCCUUCCGCAGGUUCACCUACGGAAA
rnacentral:misc_RNA from 1 species